rnacentral:rRNA from 2 species
UACGUAGGGGGCGAACGUUGUCCGGAUUUAUUGGGCGUAAAGAGCUCGUAGGCGGCUCAGCAAGUCGGUCGUGAAAGUCCGGGGCUCAACCCCGGGACGCCGAUCGAUACUGCUGUGGCUAGGGUCCGGUAGAGGAGAGUGGAAUUCCCGGUGUAGCGGUGAAAUGCGCAGAUAUCGGGAGGAACACCAGUAGCGAAGGCGGCUCUCUGGGCCGGUACCGACGCUGAGGAGCGAAAGCUAGGGGAGCGAACAGG